GUUGUAUGGUUAAGUGACUAAGCGUACACGGUGGAUGCCUAGGCAAUCAGAGGCGAAGAAGGACGUGCUAAUCUGCGAAAAGCUUGGAUGAGUUGAUAAGAAGCGUUUAAUCCAAGA
rnacentral:rRNA from 1 species